rnacentral:rRNA from 1 species
UACAGAGGGGGCAAGCGUUGUUCGGAAUUACUGGGCGUAAAGGGCGCGUAGGCGGCCUGCUAAGUCGAACGUGAAAUCCCCGGGCUCAACCCGGGAACUGCGUCCGAUACUGGUGGGCUUGAAUCCGGGAGAGGGAUGUGGAAUUCCAGGUGUAGCGGUGAAAUGCGUAGAUAUCUGGGGGAACACCGGUGGCGAAGGCGGCAUCCUGGACCGGUAUUGACGCUGAGGCGCGAAAGCCAGGGGAGCAAACGGG